rnacentral:rRNA from 1 species
AGUCACUGACAUUAGAUACCCCGGUAGUCCAGGGUGUAAACGCUGCAGACUUGGUGUUGGAGGCCCUUUGGGGCAUUCAGUGCCGGAGAGAAGUUGUUAAGUCUGCUACUUGGGAGUACGUCCGCAAGGAUGAACUUAAGGAAUUGGCGGGGAGCACCGCAACGGGAGGAGCGUGCGGUUUAAUUGGAUUCAACACCGUAAACUCACCAGGGAAGACUGUUACAUGAAGGCCGAGAUGAAGACUCUGCUAGAUUUUCAG